GCCGCCGGGAAUACUGCAUAGCUAGGGAGUGGGAGAGGUAGACGGUACUCCGUAGGAAGGGGUAAAAUCCUUUGAUCUAUGGAUGACCACCAGUGGCGAAGGCGGUCUACCAGAACACGUUCGACGGUGAGGGAUGAAAGCUGGGGGAGCAAACCGGAUUAGAUACCCGGGUAGUCCCAGCUGUAAACUAUGCAAACUCAGUGAUGCAUUGGCUUGUGGCCAGUGCAGUGCCGCAGAGAAGUCGUUAAGUUUGCCGCCUGGGAAGUACGUACGCAAGUAUGAAACUUAAAGGAAUUGGCGGGGGAGCACCACAAGGGGUGAAGCCUGCGGUUCAAUUGGAGUCAACGCCAGAAAUCUUACCCGGAGAGACAGCAGGACGAAGGUCAAGUUGAAGCCUUUACCAGACAAGCUGAGAAGUGGUGCAUGGCCGUCGCCAGCUCGUGCCGUGAGGUGUCCUGUUAAGUCAGGUAACGAGCGAGAUCCUUGCCUCUAGUUGCCACCAUUACUCUCAGGAGUAGUGGGGCGAAUUAGCGGGACUGCCGUAGUUAAUACGGAGGAAGGAGAGGGCCACGGCA
rnacentral:rRNA from 1 species